GCCAGUGCAGUGGGCUGAGGCCUGGGUCGCACCCCUGGAGAGCAGCAGGGUCCCGGAUAACUGAGCCAGGCGCGGAGCGGGGUGGGGGCGCACGGAGGGCGCGCGCCCGGGAGGGACCCGCUUGGGCAGGCUCUUCCCCUUCCCUUCGCCCCUGGUCUGCCGUCGGGGCGCGCGCCUCGCCUCGCACCCCCACCCCCGACCCUCCAAGAUCUGCAGGGCCAGCCGAGCAGCGGACGCCUUGUGCCGGCCAGCCGAGAGGUUCCGGGUGCAGGGUUCACAGGUCAGAGUUGACUCCCUGAAAAGUGCAGCCGGUUUGAAAUGCAAGAUGGCGGCUGCGGGGCGCUGAGAGGCGCGGCGGCCCCUGCAGGAGAUGGCAGAUAGGUACUUUGGACCUGUUGGUAAUGAUGGCCUGAGCUAAGCACCUCCUAAUUUGAAGGGAUACCCUUCCAUGUCAAAGAACAGAAUGCUGAGGAAGCUAUGGCAAGUGAGUGGAGCUGUGCUUCAAAAUUUUCAACAGUUCAACAACAUUUUAUCUGCCAACAAUAAGCUCUUUACUUGACUGCACCAUGAAAAAGCUGCUAAUGAGACUUGUUGAGCACAAAAACGGACUUGAAGAACCAAAAGCCAUUAUUUUCAAAUGAAGAAUACUGAACAGUUAUAAGCCUCAAUGCUUUUUAGUCACCACUGAGAUUUUCCGCAUAACAUCAGAAUGGCAAGCAGGCGAAAAUCAACAAUACCUUGCAUGGUCCUUGCCAGUGAACAGGACCCAGACCUUGAGUUGAUAUCAGAUUUGGAUGAAGGUCCUCCUGUACUUACACCUAUAGAAAACACCAGAGCAGAGAGUAUCUCAAGUGAUGAAGAAAUUCAUGAAUCUGUAGAUUCUGACAAUCAGCAGAAUAAAAAAGUUGAAGGUGGCUAUGAAUGUAAAUAUUGUACUUUUCAGACUCCAGAUCUAAAUAUGUUUACUUUUCAUGUGGACUCAGAACAUCCUAAUGUAGUGCUAAAUUCAUCCUAUGUAUGUGUUGAAUGCAAUUUUCUUACCAAAAGGUAUGAUGCACUUUCCGAGCAUAAUCUGAAAUAUCACCCAGGAGAAGAGAACUUUAAAUUGACUAUGGUGAAACGAAAUAACCAGACAAUCUUUGAACAAACAAUAAAUGAUCUGACUUUUGAUGGUAGUUUUGUUAAAGAGGAGAACUCAGAGCAAGCUGAAUCUGCAGAAGUGUCUUCUUCAGGAAUAUCUAUCAGUAAAACUCCUAUCAUGAAAAUGAUGAAAAAUAAAGUGGAGAACAAACGGAUUACAGUUCAUCAUAACUCAGUUGAUGACGUUCCUGAAGAGAAAGAGAAUGAAAUCAAACUGGACCGUGAAGAAACUGUGGAAAAUCCAAGUUCUUCAGCUUCUGAAUCUCAUGCAAGUACUUCCAUUGUAAACAGAAUACAUGCAAAUACUGCCAGCACGGUAGUGACCCCCACAGCAGUUCUUCCUGGGUUAGCACAGGUGAUAACUGCUGUAUCAGCUCAGCAGAAUUCCAGUUUGAUUCCCAAAGUCUUAAUCCCUGUUAAUAGCAUUCCUAUGUACAAUGCUGCAUUGGAUAACAACUCCCUUUUGCUUAACACUUAUAACAAAUUCCCUUAUCCAACUAUGUCAGAAAUUACUGUUCUUUCUGCCCAAGCAAAAUAUACAGAGGAACAGAUAAAGAUAUGGUUUUCAGCCCAACGUCUAAAACAUGGUGUUAGCUGGACUCCCGAGGAAGUAGAGGAGGCAAGAAGAAAGCAGUUCAAUGGAACAGUACACACUGUACCUCAGACCAUAACUGUUAUUCCUACACACAUUUCCACAGGAAGUAAUGGUUUGCCAUCCAUUUUACAAACAUGCCAAAUAGUUGGUCAGCCAGGUCUGGUCCUUACACAAGUAGCUGGAACAAACACUUUGCCAGUAACAGCACCUAUAGCCUUGACAGUGGCAGGGGUUCCAAAUCAAACAAACGUACAGAAAAGUCAGGUACCUGCAGCUCAGCCUGUUGCAGAAACAAAGCCAGCGACAGCAGCGGUUCCAACUUCUCAGCUCAUCAAACAUGAAACCACACUGGCAAACCCUGAUUCAUUUGGCAUUCGGGCAAAAAAGACUAAAGAGCAGCUGGCAGAAUUAAAAGUUAGCUACCUUAAAAAUCAGUUUCCUCAUGAUUCAGAAAUUAUCAGACUUAUGAAAAUCACAGGCCUGACAAAAGGAGAGAUUAAAAAAUGGUUUAGUGAUACAAGGUACAACCAGAGAAAUUCAAAGAGCAAUCAGUGCUUACAUCUCAACAAUGAUUCCUCCACCACUAUUAUAAUAGACUCCAGUGAUGAAACAACAGAAUCCCCGACUGUUGUUACUUCACAGCAUAAACAGUCCUGGAAUCCUUUUCCUGAUUUUACUCCCCAAAAGUUUAAAGAAAAGACUGCAGAGCAGCUUCACGCCCUUCAGGCAAGUUUUCUCAACAGCUCAGUACUUACAGAUGAAGAGUUAAAUAGGUUAAGAGCGCAAACCAAACUUACCAGAAGGGAAAUCGAUGCUUGGUUUACAGAAAAGAAGAAAUCAAAAGCUUUAAAGGAAGAGAAAGUGGAAAUAGAUGAAAGUAAUGCAGGUAGUUCCAAAGAAGAAGCUGGAGAAACCUCUCCUGGAGAUGAAUCUGUUGUCCCUAAGUCCGGGAGUACAGGCAAGAUAUAUAAAAAAACACCUGAGCAGUUGCACUUGCUUAAAAGCGCAUUUGUCCGAACACAGUGGCCAUCGCCAGUGGAGUAUGACAAGUUGGCCGAAGAAAGUGGGCUUGCCAGAGCAGACAUAGUUAGUUGGUUUGGGGACACUCGCUAUGCUUGGAAAAAUGGAAACUUAAAAUGGUACUACUACUACCAGAGCGCCAAUUCGAGUAGUAUGAAUGGUCUGUCUUCCCUUAGGAAAAGAGGGAGAGGGAGACCCAAAGGAAGGGGAAGAGGAAGACCGCGUGGACGUCCUAGAGGAAGCAAGAGAAUGAACAACUGGGACAGGGGGCCGUCACUCAUUAAAUUUAAAACUGGAACUGCAAUACUGAAGGAUUAUUACCUGAAGCACAAAUUUCUUAAUGAGCAAGACCUUGAUGAACUUGUUAACAAAUCACAUAUGGGCUAUGAACAGGUAAGAGAGUGGUUUGCAGAAAGACAGAGAAGAUCAGAAUUAGGUAUAGAAUUAUUUGAGGAAAAUGAGGAGGAAGAUGAAGUUAUUGAUGAUCAGGAAGAGGAUGAAGAAGAAACAGAUGAUAGUGACACCUGGGAACCCCCACGACAUGUGAAGCGGAAGCUUUCUAAAUCAGAUGACUAAAAUGAAAGAAAUCAAAAACGAAAACUUAAAAGAAGGGGAAAAGUAUACCGAAGGAAAGACUUACCACAGGGGUGAGGAUUUGCUCAGUUUUAGGAAACUAGUUGCCUAAAACGUUGGAGGAGAAUCAAUUCUUCAACUCAAGAUGUCUGAUUACUGUGAAUGGGCCCAAUUUUUUAUGACACUGAAAACAUUUUGGGGCAUACACAUUCUUAAAAAAUACCCAAAAGAAAUGGAACUUAACGUUGUGCCAAAGUUAACUACAGCAGUUGGUGGAAGUUCUGCAAUGUAAAUAGAGCACUAAUUAAAAAACAACUUGUAAAAAUUCAAGUUUUAAUCCAGUACAUUUUUAUUCUGAUAUGAUGGAGGCAUUCUGAUUCUUAGACUUUCUGAGGGUGUUUAAUGACCACUAGAGCUUGUCCUCAUAUUUUCUCGAGCUUCAUACUGUAUGUCUCCAGAUGGGCCUUACUGCCUGUAUUCUUUGAUGUCAUUAAGCUUACAGCUUUGAGCGACCAAACAUUUUACAGAGUAAAGAUCGUUAGAAACAGGAAGAAAAAAAAACAAGAAUUUAUUGCUAUGUCUUAUUUAUCAGGCCCUGCACUAAAUUAAAAAUUGUGUAUGGGCUUACACAAUUUCAGUGUAAGUGAAAAAACAGCCUAUUGACACAUGUUGUAACAGUAAGAUUUUGUGAUCCCAUUGGCUCUUAAUGAUUGGAUCUUUCUUUGAACACACUCAUGGAUGCCACUAUUAUUACCUGUAAUACUUUUGUUAUUUUUUUCAUUAAAAGUUGAAUUUUCUUUUUAUUAAAUUGAAGAUAAUACUGAAGGAGAAAAGAAACUGGCAUAAGAAUUUGAAAAGGGUAAAACUCUGAAGUAAAGACUGUACCAAAAAUGUGAAAAAGAAUCAUGUAGUAAAUAUAUACUUACUGUUUUCUUAGAAUCAUGGAAUCAAAUGUUUGUGCAGGUAAGAAUUUUCAAGAAUUAUCUUUCAGUGAAAUUUUACCUGGUGUAAAAAUUUCAGUGACUACAGAAAAAAAUUCUGAGCUGAUCAUAAUGAGUUAAAAGUUAGCUUUUCACUUGUGGAAUCAUGGAAGUGUUAACUGUUAACUCUUGCCAUAUCAGGAGACUGAAAGUUCAUACUAACAUAAACUUUGUAAAGACUGGUGCUGUUCAUGCUGAGAGGGACCCUUUUUUUGUGUGACUCUAGGACCCUUUUUCAAAAUGUGUUUUCUUCAUAGAAGAAAUGUUCAGUUUAAAUAGCUUUAGAUUUUAAACUGUGUUUCUGAAUGACCAGAUGUAAUGGGCUUGGCCAGUUUAUUUUAUCUAAUUUAAUGAAUAAUAAAUAUUAAGCUCUUGUUUUUACCUAAAUGUUUGUCUGCUAAUGAAAAUGUUAUGAAAAAGCCUUGAAUAUGCAUGCUGCUUUCCUUUUUAUAAACUUUUUAUUUUUAACUAUAGCUUUAUUAGUAAUUCCAAAAUGCUGCAAUUUAGCUGAUUUCUUCACUCAGACAGCUGGCUUUGUGGGUGGCUUUUUCAUACUACUGUUAACUUUUUUAAAAAGAAGCAAUGUAAAGACUGUAUUUGAUGCACUAAACUGUUCUUUCUUUUACACGUUUAAAAACUUCUUAAAGCACUCUGUAUUAUAAUGAUUAAAUUGCUCCCUUUUUUUAAAACCA